rnacentral:rRNA from 1 species
GACAGAGGGUGCAAACGUUGUUCGGAAUUACUGGGCGUAAAGCGCGUGUAGGCUGCUCGGAAAGUCGGGUGUGAAAGCCCUGGGCUCAACCUAGGAAGUGCACUCGAAACUUCCGAGCUGGAGUGCUGGAGAGGAAGGCGGAAUUCUCGGUGUAGAGGUGAAAUUCGUAGAUAUCGAGAGGAACACCGGUGGCGAAGGCGGCCUUCUGGACAGCCACUGACGCUGAGACGCGAAGGCGUGGGGAGCAAACAGG